AACAAAACACUCAGUGCUGCCUUCAAGUCUGCUGCAGUCGAACAGUUAUUGGAGAAGAACUACAGAAUCCAUUGCUCAGUGCACAACAUAGAAGUGCAACAAGAUUUCAACAUCACUCAAAAAAUUGAAAGCAUCCUUCAAGAGUCGAAUUUUAGCGACAAGAGGGCACGUUCCAUGGAUAUAGAUGA